rnacentral:rRNA from 1 species
UACGUAGGGGGCAAGCGUUGUCCGGAAUCAUUGGGCGUAAAGCGCGUGUAGGCGGCCCGGUAAGUCCGCUGUGAAAGUCGGGGGCUCAACCCUCGAAUGCCGGUGGAUACUGUCGGGCUAGAGUCCGGAAGAGGCGAGUGGAAUUCCUGGUGUAGCGGUGGAAUGCGCAGAUAUCAGGAGGAACACCAAUAGCGAAGGCAGCUCGCUGGGACGGUACUGGCGCUAAGGCGCGAAAGCGUGGGGAGCAAACAGG